CUGCGCGAAGGAUCAUUACUGAAGCAGUUAGGGUUGUAGCUGACUCUGUCAAAGGAGUACUGUGCUCGCUCUAUUCUUCUACUUUUCCCCCUGUGCACCUUUUGUAGGCUAUGAUAUCCAUCGUGUGUGAGUUCACGCUCAUUACCGGUUCAAGGGAUUGCUGGUUUACUCCGGCUGCUCUUGCCCUUCAUAUGCCUAUGUCUUUAUACACUCUUUACAAGUCUAGAAUGUCUUUUGUGGGUCUAUUGACCUAUAAACUUAAUACAACUUUCAACAACGGAUCUCUUGGCUCUCGCAUCGAUGAAGAACGCAGCGAAAUGCGAUAAGUAAUGUGAAUUGCAGAAUUCAGUGAAUCAUCGAAUCUUUGAACGCACCUUGCGCCCUUUGGUAUUCCGAAGGGCAUGCCUGUUUGAGUGUCAUUAAAUUCUCAAACCUUGAUCAGUUUUGCGACUGACUUCAAGGCUUUGGAUGUGGGAGUCUGCUGGAACUCUUUUGGUUCAGCUCUCCUCAAUGCAUUAGCGGUUACUUGAUCCCCUUUCCUUGGUGUGAUAAUUAUCUACGCCUUUGAAAUGAUCAGCAUUGUAUCAGCUUCUAACCGUCCAUUGACUUGGACAUUACUUAAUUGACUAUUUGACUCAAUCAGUAGACUACCUGCUGAACUUAAGCAUAUUCAUUAGCGGAGGAAAGAACUAACAAGAUUCUCCUAGUACUGNNAGUGAAGCGGGAAAGCUCAAUUUAAAUCUGG
rnacentral:rRNA from 1 species